rnacentral:ribozyme from 1 species
AAGGAAACAAAAGGAAAAAAGGAAGAAAAUAAGGCGAGUCAUGUAGUCUGUCUGUGGUCUGAUUCGUCGUUCUGUUCUUUUGUCUUAUGUUCUUUCUUUUGUUUUUGUCUGUUGUGUGCGUGGAGAAAAGGAGGGAG